rnacentral:rRNA from 1 species
AUGGGUACUGCUCUGUGCCUGGCACUGGCGGUGCUGCUACUGCUGCUCGCUAAUGAUCCGGUGUUGGUGGCCGCGGACGACGGCGUCGACGAACAGCUGCUGGAGCGGUUCAAGGCGGCGGUACGGAACCGUGGGGAGCUGGGGGGAUGGACCCGUGGCGACGGCGCGUGCAGUUUCCCUGGUGCCGCGUGCGUCAGGGGAGGGAAGAGGCUCGUGUCGCUCUCCCUCUCGGGGGUCCCACUCGACGUCGACUUCCGCGCCGUCGCGGGCACACUGCUGCAGCUGGGUGGUGUCGAGGUCGUCAGCCUGCGAGGCGCCAACAUGAGCGGCUCCCUCGCAAGCGGCGGGGUCGCCGUGGUCUGGCGGUGCGGCCAGAAGCUGGCUCAGCUGGACCUGUCCGGCAACAGGGCACUAAGAGGAUCCGUAGCUGACGCCCGCGUGCUCGCCGGCGCGUGCGACGGGCUGAGGGAGUUGAACCUUUCUGGUAACGCACUCGUUGGCGGUGGCGGCGGGAAGGGAGAUGGCGGGGACAUUUUUGCCCGCCUGGAUGUCCUUGACCUCUCGGACAACAACAUCACCGGCGACGGCGAUCUCAGCUGGAUGGGGGGAGUCCGUCGGCUGAACCUCGCCUGGAACUCGAUCUCCGGGCCACUCCAGGUCCCGGCAUUCACCAACUGUUCCAGGAUGGAGUCACUUGAUCUAUCCGGAAAUUUAAUCUCCGGCGAGGUGCUGCCCGGGGCCCUGUCCGGCUGCACUGCUCUUGUUUCGCUCAACCUCUCCAGCAACCACUUAAAGGGCGCUUUUCCGCCAGACACACGCUGCUUGCGUCGCUCCCCACGGCUCUCGUGGCUCACUCUAUCACUCAACCACUUCCAUGGCUCCAUGCCCGACUCUCUAGGUCGGCUUGCCAAUCUGAGGAUGUUGGACUUCAGCUCGAACGAGCUCUCCGGCGCUAUACCAUCCUCACUCUGCCCGAACACCGGCUCCAAGCUAGUCCAAGCUCGAGACCUCAGUCUCAACUACAUCAAUGGCUCCAUCCCCACAUCCGUCGGCAGCCUUGCUCGUCUCCGUGACCUCAUCCUGUGGGAGAACAAAUUGGAGGGCGAGAUUCCGGUGUCGCUCGGUGGUGCUCGCGGACUCGAGCACCUCAUCCUCGAGUACAACACGCUCACUGGCAGCAUCCCGUCGGAAUUGAUGAACUGCAAGAAUCUGAAAUGGAUAGCGCUGGGGAGCAACCGGCUCUCUGGGUCGGUGCCGGCUUGGCUGGGGCGGCUAGACAACCUUGCAAUCUUGAAGCUCAACAACAACUCCUUCUCAGGGCCUAAGCGGAUCGAUACCACCGGAGCUGGCGAGGCAGUCCGGGAAGGUGGCUAUCGGCUUCAUGAUAGCGCGGCCACAUAUAUAUACUUGCGCAACGACGAGCAGAGCAGCAAAUGUCGCGGCGCGGGGAGCUUGCUUGAGAUCGGCGGCGUCCGUUUGGAGCAACUAAACCAGAUGGCUAGCAAGAAUACGUGCAACUUCACACGGGUAUACAUCCUGGAUAGCGGAGAGCACACUUUGAAAAGCAAUGCCUCCAUGAUAUUCUUGGACCUGUCCUUUAACAAGCUUGACUCCGAGAUCCCCAAGGAACUUGGUAAGAUGAACUAUGUAGCAAUCAUGAAUCUUCGGCAAAAUCGACUUUCUGGUGCCAUCCCAGCAGAGCUUGCAGUCGACAACGGCAAGACCAAAUCUUCCAAUGACCUGACAGCUCCAGCAAGCCAUCAGUUAGUCUCACACCUAGAGCUUGUUCGUGCCACUGGUAAUUUCAGUGAAGAUUACAUGUUGGGAUAUGGAGGCCACGGAAAGGUAUUCAAGGGACAACUGAGCGAUGGUUUGAUGGUUGCAAUAAAGGUUUUUGACAUGCGGUCCACGUGUGCCAUUAGAAGCUUUGAGGCCAAGUGCCAUGUGCUCCGCAUGGCGUGGCAUCGCAACCUGAUACGGAUAAUCACCACAUGUUCUAACAUGAAUUUCAGAGCGUUGGUGCUACAAUACAUGCCAAAUGGCAAUUUAGAGACAUUGCUUCACUGCUCACAACAGGGCGAAACACAAUUCGGGUUCCGCGAGAGACUGUGUGUUAUGCUUGAGGUGUCAAUGGCAAUGGAAUAUCUACACCAUGGUUACCAUGAAAUCGUCUUGCACUGCGACUUGAAGCCAAGCAAUGUGUUAUUUGACGAGGACAUGAUGGCGCAUGUGGCAGAUUUUGGCAUUGCAAGACUACUACAAGCUGAUGGUAACUCUGCGUUCUCCAUUAACAUGCAUGACACUAUUGGGUACAUGUCACCAGAGUAUGGGUCAUACGGGAAAGCUUCACGAAAGAGCGAUGUGUUCAGCUACGGCAUCAUGCUCCUUGAAGUCUUUACUGGGAAGAGGCCAACGGAUGCUAUGUUUGUUGGAGAACCGAGCCUUAGACGAUGGGUUAAUCAAUUGUUUCAGGCAGGUCAACUUGUUCAUGUCAUGGAUAGACGGCUACUGCAAUGCUUUGGCAUGGACAUUAGCUUUCUUGUGCCAAUACUAGAGGUUGGUUUGCUUUGCUCCAGUGACUCACCUGGAGAUAGGAUAACUAUGAGCGAGGUAGUUUUAAAGAUGAAGAACGUCAAAACAGAGUACAUCAAAUAUAUAUCGUCUACAUUAGGAAAUGUUUCACAAUGA